rnacentral:rRNA from 1 species
AGUGUAGGCGGUUUGGUAAGUCAGAUGUGAAAUCCCGGGGCUCAACCCCGGAACUGCAUCCGAUACUGCCGGACUUGAGUAAUGGAGGGGUAGCUGGAAUUCUCGGUGUAGCAGUGAAAUGCGUGGAUAUCGAGAGGAACACUCGUGGCGAAGGCGAGCUACUGGACAUUUACUGACGCUGGGGCUCGAAGGCCAGGGUAGCGAAAG